rnacentral:lncRNA from 1 species
CAUUACGUUACCCACGGCCGCAUGUGGCCUGAAUCCAGGCGAGGGCUUCUUUUUUUUUUUUAAGAUUAUUUAUUUAUUUAUUUAUUCAUGAGAGACACAGAGAGAGAGGCAGAGACAGAGGGAGAAGCAGGCUCCCUGCAGGGAGCCGGACGUGGGACUCGAUCCCAGGUCUCCAGGAUCACGCCCUGGGCUGAAGGCGGCGCUAAACCACUAGGCCACUGGAGCUGCCCCAGGUGAGAGCUUAACCUCAGCAUCAGGGACACGUGCACCCUGAUAACUCUUUGUUCAUGGGGGAGGGGGUGGGGUGUAACAGCAGCAGCGUCUACCCAGUCCGGGCUUGGAGUACCCUCCCUCCAGGUGCGAUAACCUAAAACGCUUCCAGAUGUUGACAAAUGUCCCGCGAGGGCAAAAUUGCCUGGCGUUGAGAACCGCUGACCUGGGCAGUCUACGGAAUACCCUAUGUUUUCAUUUUAGUAAUGAGCUGGUUAAUAGCUAUUUGGUAAAUACUUGAAUACAGCCACCCUGUGACUUUGCAUGUGUUCCUAAAAGUGAUAAGCAACUGCGUUCAGGAUACAUCGAUUUAGGUUUUAAAAAAGUGAAUUGCUGGGACGCCCAGGUGGCUCAGUGGUGGAGCAUCUGCCUUCAGCUCAGGUCGUGAUCCCGGGGUCCUGGGAUCGAGUUCCGUGUCAGGCUCCCCACAGGAAACCUGCUUUUCCCGCUGCCUGUGUCUUUGCCUCUCUCUCCGCAUCUCAUGAUAAAUAAAUAAAAUCUUUUUUUUUUUUAAGUGAAUUGGUUUAAAGGAAAAUAUUAAGUAACCAAGUACACGGCAGCCUCUCCCAACACCUUUCUCCCACUAAAAAAGCAGAAAACCAAAUGCUCACUUGCCCUAUCGAUCCCAUAACUUACAGGUUCUCUAGCCCAGCAAGGCUAUUCAGGAGACUCCCAAAAGCUGUGGACUGAAUGGGGACAAGCCACGGAUGAGGGCCCAGUCCCACAGGCACCGAACCUCAGAGGUUCUGUCUCCUGCAAGGGGCACCUAAGAGAGGACGAGACAUGCCCCUCCAACACCCACCCACUCAAGACUCCCUUCACAUUUUUCCCAGAAGCUCCCUGUGCAGAGGCUAAGACAACAAGGCUGGGACCCAUCCGCCUUGAGAGGGAACAAUUAUUAGCAAAUUACUUAAUUAGGUCCAUGUUGACAUUUCAUCAAGUAAAUAUGUCAAUGAAAAAAAUGGGUCAUAUCUGAGAUGCACUAGUAAGUGAAAACAAAAAAAAAUGAAGAGUUGGUUUUUACAGGAUCCCAUCCCUGUUUUUACAAGACACUACAUAUUUAGCGUAAGUGGCAAAAACAGACUGAUUUGAAAGUUAAGACGCCAAUCUGCCAAUAAGAGAUUAUCUCCAGAAGACUGUAGUUACGGAGGAUUGUACUAUAUACUCCAUCCUGUACGGUUUCAUUCUAUACUGUAUCUCUUAUAAUAUCAGACCAAGAAGAGAGUCAAAGAAAAAAGUCCCUUUAAAUAAUUCAAUCACUGCCAUGUCUAUGGUAACAGAAAACCU